rfam:Schistosoma curassoni strain Dakar, Senegal genome assembly, scaffold: SCTD_scaffold0002041
ACACUGCUGAGGAGUCUCACGAUAGAACGAAACGGACGUUCAGUGU